UUUGUUUUCUCUGGUUCUGUACC
rnacentral:miRNA from 1 species